GACAGAGGCCUCAAGCGUUAGGCGGAAUCACUGGGCUUAAAGCGUGUGUAGGCGGAUCGUUAAGUGCCUUGUGAAAUCCCACGGCUUAACUGUGGAACGGCUGGGCAUACUGGCGAUCUUGAGCCAUCUAGGGGCUACUGGAACAAACGGUGGAGCGGUGAAAUGCGUAGAUAUCGUUUGGAACGCCAAUGGUGAAAACAGGUAGCUGGGGAUGAGCUGGACGCUGAGACACGAAAGCCCAGGGGAGCAAACGGG
rnacentral:rRNA from 1 species